rnacentral:rRNA from 1 species
GUGGGGAAUCUUCCGCAAUGGGCGCAAGCCUGACGGAGCAACGCCGCGUGAGUGAAGAAGGCCUUCGGGUCGUAAAGCUCUGUCUUUAGGGAAGAAAAGCGAUUAUGUAAAUAAUGUAGUCGUGUGACGGUACCUAAGGAGGAAGCUCCGGCUAACUACGUGCCAGCAGCCGCGGUAAUACGUAGGGAGCAAGCGUUGUCCGGAAUUACUGGGCGUAAAGGGCGCGUAGGCGGGUAUUUAAGUCAGGUGUGAAAACUCCGAGCUCAACUUGGAGAUUGCACUUGAAACUGGGUAUCUUGAGGGCAGGAGAGGAAAGUGGAAUUCCUAGUGUAGCGGUGAAAUGCGUAGAUAUUAGGAGGAACACCAGUGGCGAAGGCGACUUUCUGGACUGUACCUGACGCUGAGGCGCGAAAGCCAGGGGAGCGAACGGGAUUAGAAACCCUUGUAGUCC